rnacentral:rRNA from 1 species
CCGAGUGCGAGGGCAUAUAGUCCUCGCUUUUCACCACCGUAAGGUGGUGGUGGAAUAAGUGCUGGGCAAGACCGGUGCCAGCCGCCGCGGUAAUACCGGCAGCACGAGUGAUGACCGCUAUUAUUGGGCCUAAAGCGUCCGUAGCUGGCCGCACAAGUCUAUCGGGAAAUCUGCGUGCUUAACGCGCAGGCGUCCGGUGGAAACUGUGUGGCUUGGGACCGGAAGAUCCAGAGGGUACGUCUGGGGUAGGAGUGAAAUCCCGUAAUCCUGGACGGACCGCCGGUGGCGAAAGCGCUCUGGAAGGACGGAUCCGACGGUGAGGGACGAAAGCUCGGGUCACGAACCGGAUUAGAUACCCGGGUAGUCCGAGCUGUAAACGAUGUCUGCUAGGUGUGACACUGGCUACGAGCCAGUGUUGUGCCGUAGGGAAGCCGUGAAGCAGACCGCCUGGGAAGUACGUCCGCAAGGAUGAAACUUAAAGGAAUUGGCG